rnacentral:ncRNA from 1 species
AGGGGGAAGCCGGUGCAAAUCCGGCGCUGACCCGCAACCGUGAACCGGUCGUCGAACAGCCGGUGAGCCGGAUCGCCC